rnacentral:rRNA from 1 species
UACGUAGGGUCCGAGCGUUGUCCGGAAUUAUUGGGCGUAAAGAGCUUGUAGGCGGUUUGUCGCGUCUGCCGUGAAAUUUCGGGGCUCAACCCCGAACUUGCGGUGGGUACGGGCAGACUAGAGUGUGGUAGGGGAGACUGGAAUUCCUGGUGUAGCGGUGAAAUGCGCAGAUAUCAGGAGGAACACCGAUGGCGAAGGCAGGUCUCUGGGCCACUACUGACGCUGAGAAGCGAAAGCCAGGGGAGCAAACGGG